UACGUAGGGACCGAGCGUUGUCCGGAAUCAUUGGGCGUAAAGAGCGUGUAGGCGGCCACUUAAGUCCUGCGUGAAAUCUUGCGGCUCAACCGCAAGCGGUCGUGGGAAACUGGGUGGCUAGAGUGCGGGAGAGGAGAGUGGAAUUCCUGGUGUAGCGGUGGAAAUGCGCAGAUAUCAGGAAGAACACCCGUGGCGAAGGCGGCUCUCUGGAACGCAACUGACGCUGAGACGCGAAAGCGUGGGGGAGCAAACAGG
rnacentral:rRNA from 1 species